rnacentral:rRNA from 1 species
GAUGAACGCUGGCGGCGUGCUUAACACAUGCAAGUCGAACGAAGCAUUUGCGACAGAUUUUUUCGGAAUGAAGUUGCUUAUGACUGAGUGGCGGACGGGUGAGUAACGCGUGGGUAACCUGCCUUGUACUGGGGGAUAGCAGCUGGAAACGGCUGGUAAUACCGCAUAAGCGCACAAUGUUGCAUGACAUGGUGUGAAAAACUCCGGUGGUAUAAGAUGGACCCGCGUCUGAUUAGCUAGUUGGUGAGAUAACAGCCCACCAAGGCGACGAUCAGUAGCCGACCUGAGAGGGUGACCGGCCACAUUGGAACUGAGACACGGCCCAGACUCCUACGGGAGGCAGCAGUGGGGAAUAUUGCACAAUGGAGGAAACUCUGAUGCAGCGACGCCGCGUGAGUGAAGAAGUAAUUCGUUAUGUAAAGCUCUAUCAGCAGGGAAGAUAGUGACGGUACCUGACUAAGAAGCUCCGGCUAAAUACGUG